rnacentral:rRNA from 1 species
UUUCCCUCAGGAUAGCUGGCACUCGCUUGAGCGAGUCUCAUCUGGUAAAGCGAAUGAUUAGAGGCCUUGGGGCCGAAACGACCUCAACCUAUUCUCAAACUUUAAAUGGGUGAGAUCUCUGGCUUGCUUGAACGUUGAAGCCACGAGAUGCAUUAUAAAAUGCAACGGAUCAGAGUGCCAAGUGGGCCAAUUUUGGUAAGCAGAACUGGCGCUGUGGGA